rnacentral:misc_RNA from 1 species
GAUGAAGAACGUAGCGAAAUGCGAUAAGUAAUGUGAAUUGCAGAAUUCAGUGAAUCAUCGAAUCUUUGAACGCACCUUGCGCCCUUUGGCCAUUCCGAAGGGCAUGCCUGUUUGAGUAUCAUGAACACCUCAACUCUCAUGGCUUGCCAUGAUGAGCUUGGACUUUGGGGGUCUUGCUGGCCUGUGGUCAGCUCCUCUCAAAUGAAUUAGCUUUCCAGUGUUUGGUUGGCAUCACAGGUGUGAUAACUAUCUACGCUUGUGGUUUCCACCAGGUAACCUUCAGUAACAUGGGGGUUUGCUGGAGCUCAUAAAUGUCUCUCCUCAGUGGGGACAGCUCUUUGAACGUUUGAUCUCAAAUCAGGUAGGACUACCCGCUGAACUUAAGCAUAUCAAUAACGGAGGA